rnacentral:rRNA from 1 species
AGAGUUUGAUCCUGGCUCAGGACGAACGCUGGCGGCGUGUCUAAGGCAUGCAAGUCGAACGAACCAUUUUCAUCCGUAUGAGACCUCGGUUGAUUACACCGAGAAUGGUGAGUGGCAAACGGGAGAGUAACACGUAGGUAACCUACCGCACACUCGAGGACAACUUCGGGAAACCGAUGCUAAUACUCGAUAGUCAUGGGGGGACGCAAGUCAUUCCCAUGUAAAGAUUUAUCGGUGUGUGAGGGGCCUGCGGCCUAUCAGCUUGUUGGUAAGGUAACGGCUUACCAAGGCUAUGACGGGUAUGAGGUGUGAGAGCAUGACCUCACUCAUUGGAACUGAGACACUGUCCAAACUCCUACGGGAGGCUGCAGUCAAGAAUCUUCCACAAUGGACGAAAGUCUGAUGGAGCGACGCCGCGUGCAGGAUGAAGCUUUUCGGAGUGUAAACUGCUUUUCUUAGGGACGAAUUCGUGACGGUACCUAAGGAAUAAGAGGUUGCAAACUCUGUGCCAGCAGCAGCGGUAAUACAGAGACCUCAAGCGUUGUCCGGAUUUAUUGGGCGUAAAGGGUUCGCAGGUGGUUGUAUAAGUCAGUCGUUAAAGCUCUGGGCUUAACUCAGAAAUCGCGAUUGAUACUGUACAACUAGAGGCCGGGAGAGGUGAGCAGAAUUGCUGGUGUAGUCGUAAUAAGCGUUGAUAUCAGCAGGAAUACCAAAGGCGAAGGCAGCUCACUGGAACGUGCCUGACACUCAUGAACGAAAGCGUGGGGAGCGAAGGGGAUUAGAUACCCCCGUAGUCCACGCCCUAAACGAUGGAUACUAGGUAUUGGCAGUAUCGACCCUGUCAGUGCCGUUAUAAAAAGCUAACGCGUUAAGUAUCCCGCCUGUGGAGUACGGCCGCAAGGCUAAAACAUAAAGGAAUAGACGGGGAGACGCACAAGUAGUGGAGCAUGUGGCUUAAUUCGAUACCAAGCGAGGAACCUCACCUGGGCUUAAAUUUACGCUGCACACCCCCUGAAAAGGGGGAAUCUUUUGAAGGUGCGUAAAAGGUGAUGCAUGGUUGCCGUCAGCUCGUGCCGUGAGGUGUGCCCUUCAGUGGGGUAACGAGCGCAACCCUCGUCGUGUGUUACAUAUCACACGAGACUGCCUACGCAAGUAGGAGGAAGGCGAGGAUGACGUCAAAUCAGCAUGUCUCUUACGUCCAGGGCUGCACACAUGCUACAAUGGCUGGUACAACGGGUUGCCAAACCGCGAGGUGGAGCUAAUCCUCUAAAACCAGCCUCAGUUCGGAUUGAAGUCUGCAAUUUGACUUCAUGAAGUCGGAAUUACUAGUAAACGCGCAUCAGCCACGGCGCGUUGAAUACGUUCUCGUCUCUUGUACUCACCGCCCGUCACACCAGGAAAGUUGGCAACGGCUUAAGUAUCGCGUUCGCGGGACCAAGCUGGGGUCAGUGAUCAGGGUGAAGUCGUA